AUUGAACGCUGGCGGCAGGCCUAACACAUGCAAGUCGAGCGGAUGACAGGAGCUUGCUCCUGGAUUCAGCGGCGGACGGGUGGGUAAUGCCUAGGAAUCUGCCUGGUAGUGGGGGACAACGUUUCGAAAGGAACGCUAAUACCGCCUACGUCCUACGGGAGAAAGCAGGGGACCUUCAGGCCUUGCGCUAUCAGAUGAGCCUAGGUCGGAUUAGCUAGUUGGUGAGGUAAUGGCUCACCAAGGCGACGAUCCGUAACUGGUCUGAGAGGAUGAUCAGUCACACUGGAACUGAGACACGGUCCAGACUCCUACGGGAGGCAGCAGUGGGGAAUAUUGGACAAUGGGCGAAAGCCUGAUCCAGCCAUGCCGCGUGUGUGAAGAAGGUCUUCGGAUUGUAAAGCACUUUAAGUUGGGAGGAAGGGUGGUAGAUUAAUACUCUGCAAUUUUGACGUUACCGACAGAAUAAGCACCGGCUAACUCUGUGCCAGCCGCCGCGGUAAGAC
rnacentral:rRNA from 1 species